rnacentral:rRNA from 1 species
GAUGAACGCUGGCGGCGUGCCUAAUACAUGCAAGUCGAGCGAACGGACGAGAAGCUUGCUUCUCUGAUGUUAGCGGCGGACGGGUGAGUAACACGUGGAUAACCUACCUAUAAGACUGGGAUAACUUCGGGAAACCGGCGCUAAUACCGGAUAAUAUUUUGAACCGCAUGGUUCAAAAGUGAAAGACGGUCUUGUUGUCACUUAUAGAUGGAUCCGCGCUGCAUUAGCUAGUUGGUAAGGUAACGGCUUACCACGGCAACGAUGCAUAGCCGACCUGAGAGGGUGAUCGGCCACCUGGGAAGUGAGACACGGUCCAGACUCCUACGGGAGGCAGCAGUAGGGUAUCGUCCGCAAUGGGCGAAAGCCUGACGGAGCAACGCCGCGUGAGUGAUGAAGGUCUUCGGAUCGUAAAACUCUGUUAUUAGGGAAGAACAUAUGUGUAAGGAACUGUGCACAGCGUGACGGUACCUAAUCAGAAAGCCACGGCUAACUACGUG